CCUACGGGAGGCAGCAGUGAGGAAUAUUGGUCAAUGGGCGAGAGCCUGAACCAGCCAAGUCGCGUGAGGGAUGACGGUCCUAUGGAUUGUAAACCUCUUUUGUCAGGGAGCAAAGGGCGCCACGUGUGGCGCUUUGCGAGUACCUGAAGAAAAAGCAUCGGCUAACUCCGUGCCAGCAGCCGCGGUAAUACGGAGGAUGCGAGCGUUAUCCGGAUUUGUUGGGUUUAAGGGGUGCGCAGGCGGAAUGUCAAGUCAGCGGUAAAAUUUCGGGGCUCAAACCCGUCGUGCCGAUGAAACUGGCGUUG
rnacentral:rRNA from 1 species